CCUACGGGAGGCAGCAGUGAGGAAUAUUGGUCAAUGGGCGCGAGCCUGAACCAGCCAAGUAGCGUGAAGGAUGACUGCCCUACGGGUUGUAAACUUCUUUUAUAAGGGAAUAAAGUGAGGCACGUGUGCCUUUUUGUAUGUAUUUUAUGAAUAAGGAUCGGCUAACUCCGUGCCAGCAGCCGCGGUAAUACGGAGGAUCCGAGCGUUAUCCGGAUUUAUUGGGUUUAAAGGGAGCGUAGGUGGGUUGUUAAGUCAGUUGUGAAAGUUUGCGGCUCAACCGUAAAAGUGCAAUUGAUACUGGCAGCCUUGAGUACAGUUGAGGUAGGCGGAAUGCGUGGUGUAGCGGUGAAAUGCUUAGAUAUCGCGAAGAACUCCGAUUGCGAAGGCAGCCUACUAAAUUGCCACUGACAUUGAUGCACGAAAGUGUGGGUAUCAAACAGGAUUAGAUACCCCGGUAGUC
rnacentral:rRNA from 1 species